UACAGAGGGGGCAAGCGUUGUUCGGAAUUACUGGGCGUAAAGGGCGCGUAGGCGGCCAACUAAGUCAGACGUGAAAUCCCCAGGCUCAACCUGGGAACUGCGUCUGAUACUGGAUGGCUCGAGUUCGGGAGAGGGAAGCGGAAUUCCAGGUGUAGCGGUGAAAUGCGUAGAUAUCUGGAGGAACACCGGUGGCGAAGGCGGCUCCUGGACCGACACUGACGCUGAGGCGCGAAAGCUAGGGGAGCAAACGG
rnacentral:rRNA from 1 species